UACUAGCCCUUUAAUCGAUAGCUAGUUUCAAAAAAAUUUUCCAUUUAUACUAUCUUUUUUUGUUGUAGACCUUUUAUGGAAAUCUCUUCAAUCUAGGUGUCUCGGCCAUCUUUCCUCUUGUUCUCGUUGAUUGUGGACAAUAGCUGCUCCCUCCAGGUACUUUUCUUCUCUUUUUCUUAAUGCUUCUUUCCCUAGUUCGUGGGCAUAACCAAUUCUUGAUCUUUGAACAAACUGGAAAUUGAUUUCUUGAAAUUUUUUUUUUCUACUUUGAAUGUCUCGAAUAAUCUCCCCAAUAACUGAUUUGUCUAACGUUGUUGAUUUGCAUUUCUUAAUGACUAUUCUUGAAUCCCCUAUAAUGUCUACUGAGUUAAAACCCACUGAGAUCCCUAAUUUCACGUCUUGUAAACCUGCUUGUGCCUCUGUCAUGAACGGAUACGAGAUUAUGGAAUGUAGGACAGUCUUUAAGGCUAAAACCUUGCCCAUCACUCCCCAAACCACCAGACCCGAAGUCGAUCUGUAAGAUCUUCCAUCGAAAGUUGCGUCGAAUAAAUAGCUAUUCUCAUGUUCCUUUUGUGUUGUGUAUGUCUUCUACCACCAUUUGAGGGCAUUGCCGAAAAAAAUGAUUGCUAUCCUCUUCAGCAUUUCGACACCGAGGACAAGAAACAUUUGUAGCCACUCUAUUGGAUCUGAGAUUUGUUAGAGUAGGGAUAAAGUUCCAGGAAAUACGCCAUAUGGUGAUUGUAAUUUUUUAAGGAAGAUGUAAAUUCCAUAGCUUUCUGUAAAAGUUUUUAAUUUCGACAUGUACUAAAUUAGCACUAGGAUCCAAGUUAGCCUCUUGUAAUAGUUUGUAAGCGCUUCUGACUAAAAAUUCGUCGGACUGUUCUCCUCAUCAGACUUGAAAAUCAUCGUGUUCAGCUUCCGCCGAAGGGAUCUGCAAAACCUUCUGUGCAAUGUCCGCUUGAAAGAGAUUUGAUCCCCCUACCGACUCUACAGCAUAGACCAUUUUUUAGUAACCCUUUUGCUGCCCAAACGCUCCUCCAGGCCAGAGAUUAAACCCCGUUGGACAUACUAUUCUGAAGGAUUAAAGAAGUUUUGAUAAGCGGCAGCCGCCUAUACGAGUUGUGAACAAAAGAACCAGAAAACUUAAAAACAUGCCAGAGAGACAGACAAUUGCGUGCUAGGUGCUAGGGUAGCAGACUUUUACGUGUUAUUAUUGUGAAUCGUAAUUUUGAAAUUUUAAUAAAUUAAAUAAAAUAAAGCUCUAAGAAA